rnacentral:lncRNA from 1 species
GAGCAUUCCUGUACCCAGGGACUGCCAAUCCACAGGGCUGCAGGGUUCACCAAGCUGCAAGAGUCAGCAUGGAGGAGCAUGAGGAGAGCCCCCCUUGGACAGUGCUUCUUUAUAGAGAGUAUAAAAGUCGUGUGAGCCCUCAAGGAUAACAUUUGUAACGUGCACCCAAACCUCACUGCAAGUUACAGGGUGCUAUGUUAUGAGCAUUCUUGUGUCCCUUUAAACCUCUCAGGCUUUGUGUCUGUAUUAACAAACAAUUCAUUCACAUUUUGCUAUUUAGAGGAAAAGCUCAGAAUAGACUUGGUUAUUUGAUACUAAUUAUUUAGCAGGUAUAAAAGCAUAUUCAAGUCCCUAAUCUCCUUUCUGAGCAGGCAGGCACGCUCAUGUUCAAAUAGUUGCAUAACUUGCCCAUCUCUAGUUGACAAACCCUCCUAACUUUGUUUUCAGAUCACAUGCAACCCCACCCCCGGCCAAGCUGUGUGCAUAGCUGGUCUGUAUUACAGCUUGCUGUUAACCUCAUCCUCCUUUCACUGCUCUUCCUGCAGUUGGUUGCUUGUGUCUUGUAAGGUGUAUAAAGGACCAUCUGUUCAGGAAAGGGCUGCCCAACAUCUGUGCAGCUCAGAGCACCUUGGGUGGAUAUUGGUAAAACAAAUGGAUGAAAAAAUUCACAAUGACAAUUUGUACUGACUUGAGAUGUAAGAGAUUUGCUGGAUCUUGCUUCGCCUCUCUCCAUAGAAUCAUAGAAUGGAUUGUGUUGGAAGGGACCUUAAAGGCCAUCAAGCUCCAAACUCCUGCUGUGGGCAGGGCUGCCACUCACUAGAUCAGGCGCUAGACCAGGCUGCCAAGGCUCCCAUCCAGACUGACCUUGAACAUCUCUAGAGAUGGGGCAUCUACAACCUCUCCUGGCAGCUCAUUGCCCUCUGAGUAAAGAAUUUUUUGCUAACAUCUAACCUAAAUCUCCCCACUUUUAGUUUAAAACCAUUCACUGUUUUCCUAUCGUUAUCAGAUCAUGUAAAAAGUUGUUCCCCCUUCCUGCUGAUAAGCUCCCCUCAGAUUCUGAAAGGCCACAAUGAGGUCUUCCCUCAGCCUUCUCCAAGCUGAACAAACCCAGUUCUCUCAACCUAUCUCUAUAGGAGAGGUACUCCAGCCCCACAGUCAUCUUUGUGGCCCUCUUCAGAACCUGCUCCAACAGCUCCACAUCCUUCUCGUGUUAUGGGUCCCAGACACACACAGGACUCCCGAUGGGGCCUCACAAGGGCAGAGUAGAGAGGAACACUUUCCCUCCAGUCUUUGUCCAGCUUUUCAUCCACCAGGACACCCAUAUAUCUAGAUAUGUAUCUAUGUACAUGUAGGUUUGUGUUUGCUUGUGUAUUUAUCUGAACAGUUGGUGUAUGGUAUCAGAAGCACACAGGUCCUGCGCAUGGUGAAACGAGGGCAGUGCUGGUGUAAAGAAAUGUGAAGUGUUUCUAACUGGCCAAUCUUUCUCAACUGUUCACAUCUUCUGUUUAAAGAAAACUGACCAAAUCAGUAGAAUCACAGAGGAUUCAAAUAAAAGUAAAGCCAGGGCUGAGCCUGAUACUGGGAAUUUUGCUGAAUUAGGCAUAAAUUAGAUGUUAUCUCUCAGCCAGUUAAGAUGAUACUGAAAGCAGAUACUUCAAACUGUUUGCAGUGUGUGAGAGUUUCUAAUCUCCUUUCAUAUAAUUUAGAAUCCAAUCCAGAGCCAGGGCUGUGGUUUCAAGGCACGGCUGGAACAGAUACCGGAUUUCUAUGGGUGCUGGGGAAGUCAAGGAAAUAAAGCAGUCUUCCAGCUCUGUGCAUUAUCGUUGCAAACAAUAGCCUGCUGGCACAAAACAAGUUUUAAUUGAUUGUUGCUAUUGAUUUUACAGGAAGCAAAGCAGAAGAAAUUCAACUUGAUUUUUGUAAGCUGAGGUGACCUGAAAAACACAAAGGAGAAAAAGAGAAUAGAAAGCCCUCCCACAUUUUGCCCAGUUCUGUGAGCUUACAGCUGAGCGCUCCAUAAAAACCCUGUCCAUUGAUUCCCUAUGUAUUUUGACCAUAUUGAUUUUCUCAUUAUAUAAUCUCCAUCUGAAAAUUUUAUUCAGAUUGUACGUUUUGCACUGUCACUGUGCAGAUCAGAGUCCCUUCUUGUUUCUUUCUCCUCUCCCUUUUGACCUCUCCAGUCUACAUGGGGUAAAAGCUGCACCUGGAAAUUUAUGUCCUACCUUUCUGCCGGUCUUCCCUUUCUGGAGCGUUUUCUGUUCAGGAAGAGCCCAGGAUAUGGGAUUUGCCUCUACUCCUGCUGCUCUACCAGAGCCAGGCAGGGAGCAGAGGAGAUAGUCAUAGGCUGCCAGAUGUACUGAGACAGAUAAUUAGCCCAGGUGGGUAGGCUUGUGCUUGCUGAGGGGCCUCUGGCUGGAGCUGCUCAGGAAGGGAGGAGAUGGUCAACUUUGUGGGAUGCUGCUUAGAUUUAUUCUUUCCCCAAGCUCCCCUUGGGCAUGGAUUAGGAGGCUGAGUGGGUGAAGUUGGAGGAUUGUAGUGGUGAUGCUUUUGUAGAGAAACAGCAAUCAUCUCCACCAAAUGUAGGCGAAAACUUAAAAUCACAGAAGAGACUGAACAUAGUUAAAAAUGAGAGCUGCAGUGGGAUGUUUCUGGGCCAGCAAUUCUCCACUCCAUGAACCUUCUGCUUCCCUUCAACAGAGAUCGGCAGCAUCAGCAACCAGACAAUUCAGAAUGGAAGGCUUUCAGGUUUAAGAUGAUGUAAACCCACAGAAAUGCAAGAUGAUUUGAACUGCGCCACAUCCAUGACAGUUGGUCGGCAGAGAUAUUAGCCAAUGAUGGUAGAAGAUACUUACGUGAAAAUGUUCGUAAGUAGGAAUGCUUAAAUAUAACUACAGUUAUUUCUUUGAGGACCAGAAAUAUAUUUAACCGGUUGCUUAAGCUAAUAUUUACAGAUGUAAGCUUCAGCAGUUAUCCCAGAGACAGGAAAAUACCUGAAAAUAGUAUCACCUUAUGCUAUUUGUUUGCUGAAUAAGUGGUUUGGUAAGAAAGAAAACUGCAAAAAUAGUAAUGGGUUUUUACCCAUUUUAAGUCUUACCAUGCUACAGUCAAUAUUACGUAAUAUCAUGGUGAAAACUUUGUUAGCAAAUUGAAAGAGCUAAAUUUUCUAUAAACUAUGGAUAAAAAAAAGUUUUUAAGUAUCUCAAAAUUUUCAAGUUAACAAGAACAGAAUAUCAGCACUUAUCCUCUUUCCUCAUUAAAACCUGGCAUCUUUCAGGUCAGACAUUCUGAAGGUACCUGCAGAACUUCAUAUUAAACUACCUGUUCUUUCCCUCUAUGUGCUGAAAGUAUUUUGCUCCUUUAGAAUUUAUAAUUACCUUAGAUAAUGACUUCUUAGGACUCAGCGUCACAAUCAUAUUACUGUAAUCUAACAAAUGACCAUGAAUCAACUGAACAGAAAUAAUGGCUUAUGUAUGUAUUCUUAGUGAUUGGCAAAUGAGACAUUUCUGACACUAAAAGAGCAUUACCUAAGAUAGUGCAAGGGGCUUAGGAUCAUGAACAUAUGGGACAUUACAUAUUGUCUCGACUUUGCUGAUGUUAGGAAUCUUUUUAAACUGUAUUCUUUUGUGGAUUGGGACCUUUGCUUGCUUAUAGCCACAGAAUCGUGGAAUGGCCGAGGUUGGAAGAGGUAUCUGGAGUCAUAUGGCCCAUCCCUGCUCCAGCGGGACAACCCAGAGCAGGGUGCCCAGGCCCACAUCCAGGUGGCUUUUGGAGAUCUCCAAAGAGGAGACCCUCUCUGUGUCCCCGUGCCAGUGCUCUGUCUCCUGUAUAGCACUGAAGUGCCUCCUGAUGGACAGGGAGAACCUCCUGUGCCCCAGUUUGCACCCGUCACCUCUUGUCCUAGCACUGGGCACCACUGACAAGAGCUUGUUCGUGUCUUCUUUGCACCUUUCAGGGUGGUCUUAUAAGCCUUUAAGAUGUAGCUCCGAAAGGUAGGCUUUACAUAAGAGCUUCAGCUAAUGUGAGAACUUUGUAAAAUCCUAAAUAAUGUCUCUGAAAUUAUGGGUAUCUGAUCUAUUUCUCUGCAGGGGAAAAAAUCUCCUAAUGACUCUGACCUUCUACUGACAGGUUUUUCUGUUGACUUGAACAUUGCGGGAGUGGCUGCUUAAAGCUGGAAAUUCCCACCCAUUUUCCACUGUCUCUCCCAGGAGACCAGCAGAUGUUUGUUAUUAACUUUUAGCAGAUAGAUUUCUUGUUGAUAACUUAGUUUACCUUUUUAUUGCACAGAGGAAGCUGGGAAAUGCAUUGUUAUGAAGCACAACCUUUAAAAAUAUCUCCAUAUCCCAGAUUUUCUGUAAUAUUUCUGAAAAACAAUGUGUUUUCAAGGAACAGAGAUGAUUGGUUGAGUUUUCAAGCAUUUUAAAAUUUUGAAAUUAAAUGUAGCUUAGUAAUUAGUAUCCUGAUCAACCGAAUCUCAGUGUACCUGAAGAUCUCUUUUGUAUUAUCUGUAAGAUACACGGCAAUCUUCCUUGCAAAAUUAUUUGAAAUUUUUAUGAACAAAUUACAAAUCUACAAAUUAAAAUUUACUGGCUUGUCUUUUCCUGUAAUCAAAUCAGAAUGGUGUUGCCAAAAGAGACUUCUAUUUGCUUGAAACAGAUCUUGCGCAGAGCCUUUUCAGCAUCUCUGGUUUCAUUUGGGACUUUUUGGCAAUUUUUGGCAAUAUUCUUGGCAAUGGAUAUGUUUCUCAAUGAAAAAUUGAAUUUUGAAGCAAACAACUGAAAAUAUUUUCUCCUAAAAUCUUUCAUGAAAAGACACAUUAUCGAAUUGAAUGUUUUCUGUGUCCAUUAAUGGUCACAGUGAAUGACACGCUGAUAAAGCAGGGAUCACAGGUUGCAUCUGUUCAUCUUGUGCGUGAUUCAAGUCAACUGCUUCAUCUCUUGCAUGUAAGGAAUCCUGAUGGCACUGAAGUUUCUUUGUGCUGUGGAAGCAUGCACUAUUAAUAGUAAUAAUUGCCUUUAGCUUUCUGACAGAGCAGUGUAUUUUCACUGUACCAAGAGAGAUGCCAUCAGCUUUCAGCAGUUUAAAUUAUAUUCAGGUUAACAGAGUCAAUGCUUUGUCCAAUUAAUGAAAUUACACUAAUGACAAAUAGCCAAAGAAGCAGCUGUAAUAUUUGAUGCCUAAUUGCUAUCCAAACCGCUUGUAAAGAACAAAUUACCGUGACUAUCCUAUUAAAAUAUAAAACUGCGUGCAUGAAGACACACAGCUAGGAGUGCUCAGUGCUAGGGAGGUUUAAGACAUGAUUGAUCUUCUCCUGCAUGUACACAAUUGUCAGUGUACGUGCAAACUGAACAUGAAUUUGAGCCCAUCUACAUCCAAGUGGUGCAUGUUCUCUGGCUAGACAAGGGGCAUAUCAAUGGUCAGUCGUGCAUAUCAGCAUAGCAGCAGUCACAUCUAACAUGUGAACUCAGUUUCUCAUCACUGUGUAGAAACAUCCUGUAGCCAAGAGGAAGAAGUGUCUCAGCAAAAACUUGGGGUGUGCUCCCUCAGAUGAGCCUUGUUUGUGCCAUACCUCAUGCUCCUGUUUUGAGUACAUCUUUUUAGGUUAAUGUCCAUGACUGUCAACUGAAGACUUGUCUGAGGUGUAACAGAAAUGGCCAAACUCUUCCCUUGGUUCCUAGGGUGUUGCAUCAUAAAUGUAAGUAAUAACAACCUGUGGCUAUCAUAAUUAAUAGGCCUACUUCUACGCUUCGAACUGAGAAGGCUCUACUGGCGCAAGGAACACCAUGCUGCUCACUAGCCGGGGAAAACCUUCAUCAAGAAACUCAUAAAUAAAUCAAUCUAUUUCCCCAGAUUACUCACCCCAAGAUAGCUCUCUGUCUUCUGAAACCUGUGAGAAAGCAAAUUGCUGAAAUGCAAGUGUUUGUGGAGAUAUGGGAUCGUUUAACACUGGUUACCACCUCGGGCACUCUGGAAAGUCUCUGUUACACAAGGUUCAUUGCAGAGAUCUGAAUAUGUGCUAAACGAGCCCUGCAUCUCUGCCUUGUAGCUCUGAGAAUGCUAGGCAAGUAAUUAAGAAAUCACACGGCACAGGUGUGCCAGGUGAAUUUUGGUAGCUUGCUUUUGAUCUAAAUUGAGAUGCUCUGGGGAUUUAACUUCUUAAACAAAAAGGGCAUAAAUAAAUAAUCAGGAUUUUUUUUUUUAAGGUUGGAACAUGCAGGCUAUAAAAUUUUAUACAAGUAGGCAAUGCGAGCAGAUUGUUUAAGGCUAGGGCAUUGUUUUAAAUGGGGGUGUUGUUUUCAUUAACUUCGGUCUGAUUAGUUUUUUCACUGGGACUUUCCCCACUGAUAUAAACAGGAACAAUAUUUGGUUGUUGGGAACUAACUCCGGAAUAAGUUAAGAGAGUGUCUUUAAAAAUAGACCUUAAAAAACCAACAAGCCACACCAAAAGUUGGAAUAUUAAUUAUAAUGCAGGAAUUACUGAGUACUUCUUUUUAAUAUUCAUAAUUGAAAAUGAGACAGCUUUAAAGAUUGUAAUGAGCGCUUCAGAGUAUCGCUCUCUACUUAGAGCAUUACUUCAUAGCUGGAAGCCAAGAAACAGACUGACAGUCAAUUCUUAAAUUAUUCCAAGCCCACACAAUAGGCUCUUGCCACAAAUUCUCGGCAUGGGGCCUAUUUUGCUACCAUGUGGGUGUGGUGAGAUUGGGAUAAACAAGAACACAACUGCCCACUUUUGAGUUUUCAUCUUCCCUUAGGUUCAGUCUUACACAGAUACUUUCAGUUAGUUUGAAAUGUUUCAGUCCUUAUCUUUUCUUCCCCAACUGCCUGAUAAACCUGAGAUCAAAACUCUUGUGAAAAGAGUUCCCGAGUUAGAAAAAAAUGUGCCAGAAAAUAGAAGUAUUGCUCUGAAAGUUCUAGCCUGUUCUAUAGUCUUCUGAAGUACGAAAGCUUUCAUAUACUUUCUCCAAACAAAAUGGGUGGCUAUCUCUGAUCUAUCAGAAUGCCCUUAAAUUACUUCUUUUGAUACCUUGGGGAAGAAAGAUAGCAGAGGUGAUGUCAUAGGGCUCCUUCCAGCCUUGCUUGUGUGAUGUCGGCUCCUCACUUCAGAAACUUAAAUGUAAGGGAGGACACACACAGGGUAGAUCUCUGGAAGGGUGCUGUUACAAAGCUCUCAAUACUACAGAUGUGUUAUAGUCAGUUUGCAAAUACUAAUUUAUUCCUGUUUUUAAGAAAAACAGGAGACCAAUUUUCACUAUGGGUUGAAACCUCUCUUCAAUGAGACUUUGGUAUUGUGUGUGAUUUACUGUUUGAAGUUCAGUACUGUGGGAAAGUUGUGAUUGCAGGGUACCAGUGCAGUGUAUGACGAAGAGAAAUAGGAAUGGUGGAAAUAGGAAUUGAUGGAGGAGUUGGUCUGUAACUCUGAAAUCCAGAGCUGAGUACAACUUGUGAUUUUGCAAAGGUUGAAUUCUGACUUGCAUCAGAUAUAGAGAAAGACUGAAGUAACAAAGAACAGUUUUUCCUCCUAUUCCAAGUACUGGACAGCUGCUUUAGCACAUCUCCAGCAGGAGUAAAAUGUGCUGUUACGUUCUUUUCUGUGUAGAGCCCUGAGGGGAAAAUUGAUGCCCCUCAAAUAGGAUCUUAUCGCUGGUUGUUGUUUUCUGCUAAAAUGUCCUCUGCACUCUGUUUAAAAGAACAAGGCUGUUCUGUCACUUCUACUCUUAGGAGACCUGGAGUGUUAAUAGGGUUUUUUCCAUUUCAUUUAUUCCAUCACUGCCUCCUGUUCUCAGUCUAAAUCUUGAGACUAAGAAUCAAAUAUUUUCACUGAAAAGCACUGAAAUUUAGGAUUUUUUUUCCCCGUGAUAUUCCAUAGAGAGGAACAUUAUCAGCUGUAGUGAAGGGAAAUUCUGCCCCUUGGUGUGACCUUUUACUCCAGUGAUUGGUGUACAGAAUUUGCCUUUCUUCCUUUUUCACUGCUCACCAAUAUUUCCCACAUCUCUUUCCCUCCAAUUAAAAUAUGAGUAAAUUAAAAUGAAAGUGGGGAUUAUUUUCAGCUAAACACUUCUAGUCUGGAUUUUUCUCCAGAUAGCGUUUUCCCCCCAGGAGCUGUUGGAUUUCUCAUGAGAACAAAGAUAUUCUGGUAUUUUGACUUUGAGGAGAUCUGAAAUAUUAAUGAUAACAUGGGAGUAAUGAGGAAAUCUGGACUGUGAAUAAACUCAGCCUGUGCUUCACUGAGGUCCCAGGUAUCAGCCCCUCCCAUAUUGUUGCAGGGAAAGGUGUGCUUCCUGCAUUGCUUCGGCUCUCACAGGGAAUAAGUAGACCACACUGAACUACGAAGACAAAAUUCUGUCACUCCAGAGUUCAAGGACUGCUUUCUUUUAAGCACACUUCAAUAAGAAUGUCUUCUCAUGUCACAAUGAAAAUAAGAGAAUUUGGUGAAAGCACUUGGAUGACCUCCGUGAAAUGAAUUGGGUAUGGGACGUGUUGCCUCCUCUUCACAAGAGGUCUCAUGGUUGAGCAUCUUCUCCUCACUGAAAAGGUUAAAGCAGCCAUUCAAAUGUGCUCAUGUGUAUUGCAACUGUCCCCACUGUAAAAGUAGGCAACCAGAGAGUUUAGCCUUGCAGCCCCAUUCAGGGAGAAAUGCAAGGACAGACAAAGCCUGUUCCAUAGGUAGCUCACACAGAUUUCCAAAUGCAGUUAAUUAGGGCCAUGGAUGAUAGGCUCCCAGAAAUGAAACAAUCAAUGUCAAUGUCUACUUUCAACAUGCAGCUCAAGCAUCAUGUUGGAUCAUAUUCGUACUAAGAUCCUUCACCUUGUCAUGUUGGUCUAUUACUGCAGUGGCAACAUAUUAAUUACUAGGGAAAUUAAUUUUCUUGUCCUGCUUCAACAAUGAGGACCCUGUGGACUCUCCUUGGUUUCCAGACUUGUUAUCUCUUACAAGAGUGAUAUACUCAGCAUUUGAAGUUAAUUCUCCCAUUUUAAAGGUAAGAAAUUGAAACUCAGAUAUGUUAUACAAGUUCACACUUCCAUCAUAGCAUUAAUUCAAGACGCUAUUUCCCCCAAACAAAGUGCUAUUUCAACAAUUGCAUAUGCUGCAUUUAGUUUAGAACUUGUUUAUGAGUCAUAGUUAUAAGCAUAUGUAAUAAAGAGCCUGACUCUAGGAUCUAUGGCUACUCAACAUUUGCAGGCAUAUCUGAAUGUUACAGAGAUAGCAAGCAUGGUUAUAAAAAUAUUUGUGCAGUAUGAAAUAUUAAUGAACACCAUUUAAUUGUUUAAAAAAUGCAAAAAAAUUAAUCAUUUGAUAUUUUCACGAGUAUCUGUUUUUACUUUUGAGUAGGCUCUAUCACAAGAGGGCUCCUUUUGUUUAUUACAUAGGCAAAUUUGCUACUUGGUAAAAUAAUAACCAAAUAAACAAAAAUACAAAACAAAGAAGCCAACAGGUAUGGUGCUGACUUAUAGCCAGAUCUGCCCCAGGUAUUUUCUUCUGUUUUGAAAAUGAAAGCUUAAUCUAAUUAGAUCUUGGAGGAAAAUAGUUGUGAUAUGUUUUCUGUAGGUAAAAGGACAUGCUUAAUGUACUUUAUUUAUGUUACUGAUUUUACAGUAAGUAAUAAAAUUUAUUUAUUAAUAAAAUGCAUAGAAUCUGUUUGAAAAUGGCUUUUUAAUGAAGUAUAAGCUUUAUUAGACAUAGGUUAAUAAAACACAGCAUUACAAUAAUACAGAUUUUGUCAAUAUGUGAAACAUGGGAGCAUAAAUUGACCUCAGUCCUGCUGCAUAUGGCUAUUGAUUUUGGUUACAAACCAGGAACUAUGUCUUGUGUUUAUUUGUUUCUACACUGUAUCUGAAAAGAUUUUCCUCCUCCCUCCAUCAAAACACUUCCAUAUUUUACCACUUUCCGGUGGAAAUGACAGCAGUAAAGAUUUGCAAACCACGUGAGAAAGGACACAAUUUCUUGAUCAUUAAUAUAUUAAAUAGGGACUGAAAGGCUCACCAUGCUUGUUUGGACAUCCCAACAUUGCUGAGAUUUCCAUAUGAUUUCACAAAUGGACUGAAAGAAGAUGGACAAGCGCUGGGAGAGGGCCAGUUGUUAUGUGCCAUUUGAUUCCAUUAUUUCCUUGCCAGUCAACCAAAACCUUUGUACAGAUAGUGAAAAAGGGAAUAUUGCACUAUAGUCUCUUUGGAUACUGCAUAACAUGAAAGAGGAUGAGCUCCUCCAAGCCUCCGACACCAAGAGCUGCGGGAACAUUCUUUGUGAUUUGUUUGCUGAGGAGAGUCUUACAUAGAUCAUAGCAUCAGCACAUGCCAUCCCCUGGAACCAAAGCGUUGUUUUAGAUGACUUCUAGACAUACCUGUGAGUACUUCUGAACAUUUCAGAGUGUAAAUGAUUCUGUUAGUGCACUGUUUAUUGGCUACCUCUUGUAACUCUUACAUAACCCAUAAUAAAGUAGUGGGCUAGGCUGUCUAGUGAAACAAUACAAUGUGACAAUUAGCAUCAUCAUCAUCCUGCAGCAGAACACUCUUACCUAAUAUGACAGGUCUGAAAAGAAUUAAGCAGCUCUUUCCAUCAAGGGUUUGUGAAUGUAGUAAAGAGUUUUCUGCAGCUGUUAAGUGGUGUGCUAUAUCUUAUAGAGAACUAUAGUAUAUAUAUAUAUAUAUAUAUAUAAUGUCAGCCGCUGGGCGUUAGUUAGAUUAAUGUCCUCUCCUUAACAUGAACGCAUGGAAGGUAGACCAUGUGAUUAUGCAGCUAUGGUAAUUAUCCUUCAAAGAGUUGGAAGGCUUUGACGUAACCUCUGUGUCCCAAAUUUGUUCGUUCCAGUACUCGCUAGAGGGAAGAAUAAGGACUUGAAUCUGCAAGCCUUUCCCAUGUGACAAUCUGGUAUUGCGCCUUAUAGAAUCUGGCAAAACUGUAAAUGACAGGAACCUUUUUAAGAACUAAAUGACUUAGCAGAGACUUUUUUUUCCCCUGAUAAAUAAAUUCUCUGAUAUGCUGUUCAAACAUGCAGGGACAUGCAUGAACCGCUGUAAGUACUCCAAUUUAUAACUGCUUUGCAACAGGCCACAACAAGCUAGAAUCAUCUUUUAAGUAUUUAAUUUUUCUGUUUUGUUUUGUUUUUUUUUUUUUUUGUACAUCUUUACAGCAUGUUAGAAUGCACCUUGUAAUAAAGCAAUUUCUCCACAGUAUAUUAGUAAUCAGUAAUUAUUCUUCAGAGUUCUGUCUGCAGUGCAGUGCCUCUUGACUGGAAAUGUGAAGGCUGAAUUUGUUGCCUCACAGCUUGCCUGUGAGAGUAUCCAUUCCACUACUCACAAAGACAAGAGACAUCCAGCAUACAGUAACCCUUCAAUUAUUUCAGUUAUUUUGAUCUGACUAGGUGUUCAGUCCAUAUUAACUAUACAGUCAACAUUUCAACUUAUAUCAAGUUUUCACUGUUUUUGGUUGCAGUAGAUAUUCUUGUCAAGAAGGGAGUCAUUUGAAUCAUUAGAAAUGAGUAGAAACACAGGCUUUUUAGUCUAGACCCGAUACUCGUGGUGGAAGACUAGUUCUUGGCUGGUUAGUUCAUGCCUAAGUCCUGCCAGUCCUUUAGGGCAGGAUUAUCACAUGAAUUUGGAUAUAAAGGUAUUCAAACACUUUCCUAUAAAGGAUUUUCCUGAGGAUACUACUCAUAGUGGGAGCCUCAACCCACUGCUUUCCAUGCCCAGGAGCCUUGUUUCAGUCCUGCCUGGUGCUGGUUGUCUUGCUUUGGCAAUGUUGCAGGAGAACUGCCCUACAGCAGUGUCUCUGGGCCCACCUCCUUCUGCUCAUGGCAGGUUGAUGGCUUGCUGUGUUGGGGGCUGCCAGUGGAUGAUGUUAUCAGCCCUGGCUCUACCACUGCCUCAGCCCCAGUGGAACUGUACCACCAAGGAAGGCCUGGCUCAACAGUCUCAGUGGGUCACAAGCACCUAAAUUUUAUUAUAUUGUCUAUGAACUAUCUCUAUUUCUAGGAAGAAUAACAAGAGCAGUGCUGAGAUAGAACCACUGAUGUUAGAUUUGUUGGUAGGGACAAAAAGAUUUUUUUUCCCCUCUGUCUAUGCCUGUGUAUAUUUCUAGAUCUAGCUUGUACUUCUUGUCACUCUGAGGAUCAUCAGAUUUUUUCAUGUAAUUCAAGUGGAGCUUUGCCAAGAAAAAUUGUUAAUUUUAGAUUCUAAUUUUCAAUAAGAACAGGUAAGGCAGGACACCUAUGAAUCAGUUGAUAUGGAUAUUUACCCAAUAAGGAUAUACUAUUUAACAUGAGGUCAUACCAAACCCAGACACAACUUCUUUUUUCCUGUUCAGAUAUUCUUCCCAGCUGCCAGCAGACAAAGUCUCAUCCCUUUGUACACUGGAGGUACUGUGAACUAGUGCGAGUGUCAAACUGCAUUGUAUACAUUCAAAGAGAAAAAUGUUACAUUUUCAAGAUCAAUGGAGAUCAUCUACUUUCAUGAUGCAUUGCUCUCACUAACAGUGAUGUACGGGAAGCACCUGAGAGUCAAUCUGGAAACUUCGUUGGCCAGGACACAACAAUAUCUCUUGGUUGUUGCUGCAUGGUCUGGCAGCUGUUGCUGCUAAUCUGGUUAUCAGGGCCUGCAGGUGUAUCUGUAUUUACACAACUGGCUUCUAAGGACCUACAUUUAUCAAGUCAUGAUUUAUACUCUACAGAUUGCUUUUUUUUCUUGCAUUCUUUUUAUUGAACAGUGAGGACAAGACAGGAUAAGGAAAGCUUGGCUUUAUUUUCAUGUAGGCUCAAGACUUAUUAAAUUCUCCUGCAUCAGUUUGCUUUCCUACAAGUGUCCCUGUCUUUGCUGAAAUGAGUUGCCAUGGAGAGCUGGCAGCAGCAUGGUUUAGGUACUGCACACAUCUGUAUAAUCCACCUGAGCACACUGGGUGCAUGCCAUGUAUUACUGCUGAAUGUGGACAGAGAGGAUUUCUUAUUUGGGUUCAACAGCCUAUGAAUACAGAUCUGGCUUCAUGACCUGGCAUGGCGUCUCCUCCUGGCGCUGCACUGAGCUGGGAGCUGGGGAUCUCUGCUAACAGAACAGACAUGCCCACUUUAGUACGUGCAGGUUGCAUCCAGAUGGGUGAACUUUCUGGCUUUCAUUUGAUGCUUUUCUCCCCUAGAUCAUAGGGAAGGUGGGUCUGGCAGACAGUGCCCUGAGCAGUGGUUUAUUUGAAGAGUCUCCAGGGUAUACAAACGAAUACUCACCUCCUCUUGGGAUAAGAAAUGAAGUUACUGCAUGUAAUUUCAAAUGCCCAUAAGUUUUCAGUGGGAAGGUGACUCUGAAGAAUGUAGUUUGGGUUUAUCAGGCUUAAUUCUGUAUCUGUCAACUCCAUUAAUAACGGGCUCUUUCUUCUCUUUCCUCUGAAGGCAUCUUGCUUAAACUGUAAGGUCAGGAGUGUCAUUCUGGUGCUGUGCCAUUAAACUCCCUGCCAACACUUCCACUGGCUUUAUUAGGUACCUCCCACUCCACAAAUCACUUCAUCUGGAUUUCCAGGAGAAAUAGUGCUUCUUGGAAUGACUGAGUUAUUCUAUGAAGUCGUGAUAUUUGUCAUGUGAAAUAAUUGUCCAGAGAUAUUGUCUUUUUAUUGGAUUUUUUUUUUAAGAUUAGUUUUUGUUCUUGAUGAUAACCUCGGUUGCCCUGUGAUAUGACCAAAGGUUUCUUGGCAGCUAGGUGUCUUUCAUAUUACUGUAAGUCACCUAUAAAUGUUUUGAUGGGAGUGCAUAUUCAUGAUCAUGAUGAAUGAAACUGAAAUUUUAGUUCUCUGUUGGCCUCCAAAUGUUCUUCUUUCUCUGUCCCUUCUUGGACCUGUCGUUAUGGCUUUUGCUGUUGGCAACCAAGCAGAAUGAUAAUGGGGAGUCUUCCAAAUAUAAAUGUUCAUAAAAAUGAGGCAACAGUAGCCAAGUACCACCAAGAAGAAAAAAAAACACUGAGUGCUAGAAUCCACCCAAAUUCAUGACUGCUAUUCUUUUUUUAUUCAUUUUGUUUAAAUCAGAAAUUCUGUCAUUAAUACUUCACUUCCAUUAUCUUCCAGUUUAUACAGAGCUGUGCUUUAUAAAUGUAGAGGGAACUACUGAUUAUUUCUGAGAUGGAACAAAACCUUUGAGAUUAUCUGCUUGUAGUUUCUGAUGAAGAUCCCAGGGCCAGCUCACUGCAGCUUUCAGAACAACUUGGUAGCUGCUUGGUGAAAUGGGGGAAAUGUAUCCUUCUGGGUCUCUGUCAAAAGGGCAGCUACCUGGAAACUGAAGGUCAUGGAGCAGAAUUCUUUGCAUUGGAAGGGAUCACUCACCUAGCUGGAGUUUGGGAAUAUCUGAAGACCAUGAAGAGAUGACCUGGAAGGCCUAGUGAGAAUAGAAGGGACUGCAGCCUUUGGGAAACUUUGCAGCUGAUACUGUACUCCAAAUACGAUGAGCAUCAGAAGAAUGCAAGAAAUCAGCAUCAGAUGAAUGCAAGAAAUCAGCAUCAGAAUGCAAGAAAACAGAAAGGAUAAGAAGAUCAUUUUGAGAAGUUUUCAAGGAGACAACUAGAAAAUGUUGAUUUCAAAGUUAUAGUGUAAUUCGAGUCAAUGUAUGAUGGAGCAAUGUGGAAAUUAUUCCAGCUUGACGAGAUGCAAGACCUUAUAAGUAACUCUACAAAAAUUAGAAUUAUUGGACGAGAAAAGCACCUCAAUGAUACAUUGCACUUCAGUGGCUUCAAGGGUCCCUGGAUGAAGCCAUUUAGCACUUGGCAGGUCAAGUCAUAGCACAUCCUGAAGCUGGUUCUGCUCUGACAGCAUGCCUGCAUGCCAUGCAAUGGCCUUGGUGGAGAAACAGUGCUGUGUCAGAAGGAGCUGUUGAUUCAUCAUGAUUAAAAAAUGAUCUUCAGAAUUCUUGGAAAAUGGAUGAAAUAUCCAUUAUAGAUUUUAUGAGUACUGUCUUUAACAUGAAAGCUUUUUAAAUUGACCAUGAUUCAUACUAAUAAAUGAAUAUACCUUAAAAAAAAAUAGAAUCUAGAAUACAGGACUGCAGAGAACAACUCAAAACCUACAGUGACUUUUUGAGUUACUCUGUGGUGAAGAAGUAAGUAGAGAAAGACAAGUUGAUGAAUUAGGCCAAAUACUUUGCACCUUUAACAUCUACUGAAAUGGAUGGGGGCUGAAGAUUCAUACAGCAUCUUGCACAUCAAGGCUUUGUUACCACUAUUAGGUCCUUUCCCAUUAUGAAAACUACCUACGAGACCAUCCUUGAUGUCUGAUGUGCCUUGAUGGGCAGAACUGGAAGAGGGACAGAACUGUGCUUCUGACUCCUGUUUACUCCAUACUGCAUGAUUGUUACGUUCAUGAACCUGGUUUGGCAAUCACUGUAAAGGAGGAAAUAGUAAUCAUGUAAUUUCUUCAUAUACUGGAAAAAAAUACAAGAAAUAAGGCUGAGCUGUUUUUAAACAACCAAAGAACUAUUUGGAAAAUAAUUACAAAGCAAUAAAUGGGCAUACGUGAGGCAUAUAUAUCAAGACAGUGAAAGACAGGAAGUAGGAAAUGACAUUUUUCCUGGCCUAAUGUAUGAUAAUAAUUACAAGAAAUUGCAAUUUAGAGAAAACACAUUUCUUUUUGCUCCUAUCUGUAUUUUGGUAAAUUACUGUUCUCUGUUGUGACAGAAAAUUAAUUGCUACUGUGGCUGUUGAUUGCUUCUUAAUGACAUUGUAAUACACAGCUUUUUGGUUCAAUGUUAUUCUCAAUUCAAAUAUCUUUGUAAAUAUCAUAUACGGACUAUCUUGUAAGUAUGAUAUGAUUCAAGUUAUGCUUGUAAAACCUCCACUUAAAAUGAAUCUCCAUGUGACAGGUAAUUGGCUGCGGGCCUUUUUUUUGUUAUUGAUUUAACUUAAUGCCAAUGUACACAGGUGUGUUGGCGGGUUGUUCAAGCUUCCAAGGCACCCACAUUUGGCAGGACAAUUAAUUGUUGCAUAAUAAGAUUAUUUUCCCCCUUCAGUCCUGAAUCUUUUCAAAAGUUGUAUUUUAAACCUUUGUAGGUAUGUAUGUGGGUGAGAGAAAAAUACCCAACAAUGUUACCAUGAGGCAUGUUUCGAUUUAUUGUUUGAGGUGCUCAAGGAAACAGCAACAUAUAGAUAAGAUAUCUGCAAAUAUAUAUUUGCCAACUGAAGUGGAAAAAAAGAACAAAAAGCUUUAUAUAAUCAGGCUUUUACAUGCUAUAUAAAAUUCUAUAUUGCUAUCAGACAAAAUUGCUUAUUUUAGACAGAAAUACUACACUGAAAAUAUUAGCUGUCCGGUCUGCUUUACAUGUAGAUAGGAGAUACAAUUUGCCCUUGGACACAGAAAUAUCUGCAUCACAGACGCCCAGCGAAGGACUCAUUUGAAUACUUUGAGCAAAAUCCUGGCUCUGUUGAAGUUGAUGGGAAUUUUGCCAUUAACUUUGGUUGGACUUCAGUUUGCUUCUCCAGUGUGUAGUAAGGUAUUCAUCCCUGAGGAGUACACAGGGUAAUCUGGAGAAAGUGAACAACGCCACAGGAGUAACAGCUGGCCCAAAUUCUAGGGAGAGCAGUGACCUUAGAGGAAAAGAAGAGGCAGCACUGCUGUGGGAAUGCAUUGUAUGGAGAGGUGGGAGGAGAUUUCAUGAAAGGAUGUACAAGAUUGUUCCAAGCAUAGCAGGUAGCAUGACUGAACGUGUAAAAUCAAGAGCUGAAGAAAACACUUCUACUUUCACAAGCCCUAAGAAAUGAAUGAAGAAUGAAAAGUGUUGUGUCCAAACUUUGGAAGAGCUGGUUCUGUGAAAAGCUGUGUGAUGGCUCUUCUUUUACCCAGGUGUUUAUCUUGGGCUUGGUUCAAAAGCAAGGAUUUGUUUUGCCUUCCAGAUUUAUCCACUAAAUUGUGUUUCAUGGGGUCAUGCAAUCAGCUGUCCUCUCAUAAGAAAAAGGCCACAGCUGAGGAAACCAGGCCAGUUCAGGACUGCAGAGCCUUUGCCUGAGUGACUCUGAGAAGCUGCAUUGCACCUGAGUGGAAAAUCACUCUCCCAGGCCGAGGGAUGAUUUUUUAUCCUGGUGCUUUUUUUUCUAAAAAAACUAUCCUGUCAAGCUGUGACUUAGGUUAAAAUCAUUGGCACCACAGACAAGAAGUUGUCUGCUUCCAUAUAGAAGAGCAGAUGAUACACAUUCUGUAAAAAUCCAUAUAAAAUAUUUAUCAAAAUCUCAUUGCCCUGGAUGCCUACCAGAGACAAUCUGAAAAUUAAAUAAUUACUGUUUAACUUUCUCUUUAGACACCCAAACACUUUAUUCUGCAGUAUAUGGCAAUGGAGUAAAACAUACCAAAAUAAAACUUUGUUGACAUAGAGCUUUGUUUUAAUUUAAAGGGCUCUCAGAAGUCCAGACUGCUCAGAAAUAAUCCCAUUUUUUCUUGGCUGACUUCAACAGCUGACAGACACUGAUACAGAAGAUGAGAUGCAUGUAUGUGUGAAAGAUGGUAAUGGUAAUGGUUUGCUCUCCACCAGCAGAAAUUAAAGCCCAGUCAGUAUUUUCAGAUUGCUUAUUAACCCUGUUAGAUUGGUUUGGGAGAAGAACCAUCCCACAUGGAAAAUGCUCCCAGCUGCUGUGAGCACAGUGCAGUAGAAGCAGGUACUGCCAUGUGUGCUACUGCAGACAGUGGUAAGCCCCCUCCCUUCCCCUAUGCUUAAAAACAAAACAAGACAAAACAAAACUCAGUUUCUUCGGUGUACACAAGAGAAUGUUUGGCAUUUGCUACUACUGAGCAGCAUUCUUGCCGUGUUUUGCUAUCUGUCAAAUGGCAUGCUCAUCCUCUGCCAAGAAAAAUACUUGUUUCCAAUACUAAUCACGCUCCCUGACUACCCUCUAGUGUAUAUUCUUCCUGGACUGCUAUCUGUCCAUGCAACAUUUGAAAGAUAUUAAAAUGAUUAUGAUGAAAUCUCUUGCUUACUGUGCUGGCAAGAGCUGGGAUAUGCUCCAGAGUCAAUGCCUGUAGUUCCCAGGGAGAAGGCAGUGCCUAAAGUUGCUUCUUACUGACUGCCUCCAUCCAUCCACAUGUAGGCAGGACAUUGUCGAGCUCUGUGUGGAGCCACAGACAGGCUCUGCUCUGGUGUAAUGUUGUUAAGGUAUGAGUUGCUGGAGAAAUGAUGAAUAAAGAGCAGUUGGUAGGUAGAUCCCAGAGCCACAAGUGAUUGUACUUAUAAAAGGAGAAGAUUGUUGUGAAAUGUGUAAUGAUACUUGAAAGGCAGUAGCUGGCAAGUCAGCAUGAAUGGUUUUCUAUUUUGCUCUUCAUUUGGUGAGAUGGAAUAAGGGUAUCCACACUGGCCCCAACUCCUCAGACUGGGGAUGAUACAACUACAAGGUGCAUCCCUACAUGGUCAGAUCAUUUUGGUAUCUCCUAAUGCUAACACCGAGACUUUCGGCCUUUGAAAUUCCUGGAAGUCUUAUGAGGAGUGACUGAGGGAACUGGGAUUGUUCAGUCUGGAGAAGGCUCAGGGGAGACCUUAUUGGUCUCUACAACUGCAUGAAAGGAGGUUGUAGUGAGGUGGGUGUCGGCCUCUUCUCCUAGGUAACAGCAGUUAGGAUGAGAGGUGAUGGCCUUAAGUUGUACCAAGGGAGGUUCAGAUUGAAUGUUAGGAAAAAAUUAUUCUCAGGAAGAGUAGUAACACAUAGGAACAGGCUGCCUAGGGAGGUGGUGGAGUCACUGUCCCUGGAAGAGUUCAGGCACUGAGGGGUAUGAUUUAGUGGGCAUGCUGGGGAUGAGUCGACAGUUGGAGCAGAUGAUCUUGGUCUCUUCCAACCUUAAUGAAUCUAUGAUUCUAGGAUAAUGAUUCUAUGAAGGAUUAGCCAGUUGUUCCUCCACCUAAGACAUAACUUUUUACUUCCCCCCCCCCCCCCAAAAAAAAAAAAAAAGUUUUUUGAUCGACAUAUUCAUAUGUCCAUUUGGCAAUUAAAUGUUCUGUUUUUAUCCUCCACAAUGUAAGAGCUGCAUCUCUUUCAGGAAUCUAAAUCUGAUUUGUGUCCCACCUUACCAACAGACUAAUUAUGACUUUAGCAACAAGUGCCCUGAGACACCUCUGCAAACUAUUGAUGCUCAGAGUUGAUCAAGGAGAAGCUAGAAGCAUCUCCACAUAUUCCUGUUGUGCGUUGCAAGCCACAGCUCAACCACCACCAUUAUGGCAAACUUCAUUUGUUUUUGCAGACAUCAGGGUGGAAUUUGUGUCAUUUCUCUUUCAGCAUCUACAGAAUAGAUAUCUACAGCUGUGCUAAUCACUCUGGGCUCUCCUUAUAGGCAAGGAAGAGAAAUAAGUGUUUUUAGGGUGCAGUUUUCCUGACCUACUGUAUACAUUUACUUAAGGAGGACGAAUCACACUCAAGAUUCCUAUGCAUAGCCUGUCUAUGUCCUCACUGACUGUACUGAUAAUCUGGGAUGAUUAGCUUAACUGCGUACCAUACGCAUGUUUAUUUACCUCUGCUUAAUUACAUAAGUGAUAUCCACUGCCCAUUACAGAGCAGGCUUUGAAUGUAGAUGAUGUAGGCAAUUUCUGCAAGUAUUAUAGCAGACUGAAGCAAGCAGUGGUGCAUCCUCUUUCCAUGAAAUGGAAGAACUGUCUUUGUUGAGAGGAGGAUACUCUAAUUCCUUCUGUUUCUCCAUGGAACAGGACCUGACUCUUCUGGAAGAAGCAAAUAGGAGACAUUGACGUUGGCAGCAGUGUGAACUGUAGGUGGAGGAGUUAAUUGAGAGGUAGUUUAGGGACAUGGCAGGUUGCACUGGCUCCCAAAUGAUUAGAGAUGGUGGGGGAUCUGGUUGGGGAUUUGCUUAAGGAUCCCACCCAACUCUGCUCCAGAGGCAUUAAACAUCCCUGUGCUACCUAAUUCCAUUCCUUCUUUGUCUCAUGGAGUGUCCUGAAACCUCCUCAUAGCCCUCACAUUCACCUCCCCUCUCUCUCUCUCCAAAACCCAAUUUCCUCUCCCCAUCCUCCAAAGUGCCCUCAACUGGUCUCUUCUAGCCUCCUUUCUUGAAAGCUCUUCUCCAUCUCCUUCAAACUGUGAGGGGUCUUCAGAUCAAAGAGCAUUAGAGGGUGUAUGGUGGCAUGCAGUUUCCUAUGUUAGCUUGUGUUUUCAUAGAAUGGCUUGGGUUGGAAGGGAUCUCAAGGAUUAUCAAGCUCCAACCCCCCUGCCACAGGCAGGGCUGCCAACCUCCACAUUUAAUACUAGACCAGGCUGUCCAAGGCCCCAUCCAACCUGGCCUUGAACACCUCCAGGGUCAGGGCAUAGACAGCCCCUCUGGGCAGCCUGUUCCAGCACCUCACCACUCUCACAGUAAGGAACUUUCCUCUUAUAUCCAACCUAAAUCUUCCCUCCUUCAACUUAAAAUCAGUUCCCCUUGUCCUGCCAUUAUCUACCCUUUCUAAGAGCUGUUUUCUCUCUCCUGUGCUUGUGUUUUAUAUUUUUCAAAGUACAUUUUUCAAAAUUUGAAUGAUGCUCACUUAAGGGAACACUUAAUAAUUUUGUUUACAGUUAGAAAUCUUAAUUAAUAAGAAAUAGCCAUAAGAAUGGCCCAGGAACUUCAAGAGAACACAUAAAAUUUCCUCUGGAGCCCAGAAUGAUGCCCAGAGAAAGGUCUCCAGUGAUGUAUUACAACACUUUUUAAACUUAAAUUGCAUAAUGAAUAUUCAUAAUACUUAUUAUAGCAUAAUUAGUGAAGUAACAAGGGUUUGAAGAUAGGAGUCUGGCAAGAUCUGUACAAGAGAAAAUGCCCCAUCCCUGGAGGUGUCCAAGGCCAGGCUGCAUGGGGCCCUGGGCAGCCUGGUCUGGUGCCUGAUUUAGUGGGUGGCAACACUGUCCAUGGCAGGGAGUUGAAACUAGAUGGUCUUUGAGGUCCCUUCCAACCCAAGCCAUUCUAUGAUUCUAUGAAGAGAAAGAAAUUUAAUUUGUUUGCCUGACUGAGGUAUGAGGGAAAGCAGACAAGCUUUAGGCAUGAGGCCUUUAGGUAAAUAGUGAUAGAGAGAUUACAACCUCCGAAUUAUGCUUAUGGAUCAUAUAAACUCCACAUGGCUGGAAUCAGAGGACACAUUUCAUAUCAAGGGAAAUUUUUAAUAGAAACAACAAGUUGGUUUUGGUUCACCUUUAUGGUUUUAAAACUGUGAGAUGAAAUAUUUUUCCUACAUCUGCAAAAUAUUUUGAAUUUUGAAAAUGUUUCUAUCUGAAGUGCAAUAAAAAGCAGGAGCUGCAAUAAGUUGAUGAGUCAAUAAUGAAUAAACACAGUGUUUUGAAUUGAAAAUUUUGGCACAUUUCAGUGCAGUUACUAUUACUGAUACAUUUUUCCUGUGGAUACACUGACAUUUAAAAACCAAUCUGUAAUGAAGGGAAAAGAAAAAAUAACAUACAUAGCAUGUGGAAACAAAAGGCUCAGAAUCAGAAUUAUUUUGCAGAAAAAUCAGGUUUGAAAAUGUAUCUUUUUCUGGACAAAAGAGUGAAAUAAAACAGUUCAUCAACAGUGCUCAUACUCACUUGCAGACCCAGCAUAUGUGUGUACCACUGACACAACACACAGUUGCCUUCUAAAUACUUAAUUAAUUGUUAGGAUGAUAGUUAAUAGUCGUCCCCAGAUUUUCAAUAACGGGACGAUCCUCCUGUCAGUGCUGCUACUGCAAAUCUUUUCUUCACCCUUGCAGUGCCCUUCCCUGUGCAACUGGGCAUUUUCAUUCCUCUAUUUAUUCCAAUGAACUACAGAGACCCUGAGCAUCUUUCUCUCUAUUAUUAUGCAGAUCUGCUUUUCUAGAUUCUUGGUAUUUUAUUUAUUGCACAAGCGUAACCCACUGGUAAUCAAUGACUACAAUUACAAGACCUUGAACACAAUGAUAGAAGAAAUAAUAUUUUAUGUUUGGCUUGAAAAUAAACAGCCCUCCAUUAGCACAUUUUGCUCACCAUGACUACUGGUGAUGAAGGAAGUCGUCCACCUUGACAUCCCUUGAACCAGGCUACAGUACCACAAGGACUAUAUACACAUUAAAAGACAACUAAUUGAUUAGGGAUCUUUUAAAAAAUUUGGGCCAGAUCCUGAAUCCCACAUGCAUCACACAUUCAAAAAAUGAUUUUCCAAAAGACUCUGAGAAUUUCUGCAAGAUGCGUAGCACAUGUCUGACCUUUUCCUGUCCCCAUGAGGUUCCAGGUCCCUCCUCACUCUCAGCCCCAUAGGCACUGGCCAUCCGAGUCCUGAUCCUGCCAGAGUCGGACUGCAGAUGUGAUGAACACUAGCUGCUGUCUUUGCCUGGUAGACAUGUCCAUCCAACACUGAAUCUUUCACAAAUUUUGCCUUCAGUAAAGAAGAGAGGAAGAAAAAUAGAAUAAGAAAUCAUGAAAACCAUUUUUAGAGGGAUUUUAAAUUUGUGCUGCGCUUUCUGAUUCAGAAUUUGAGCUGCACUCUGUGUUUCAGAUACAGUUGGACUUGUUAUUAAGACAAGCAAAGAUACAGUUGAAAAAUGCUGCUAAUAAUCUGGAUAAUUACUUUCAAAAUGAUCUACAUAAUUCCUGAAAUAGCUAAAAUAGAUACAUUCAACAUCCAUAACAAAGAAUAGUAUUCAAAGCAUUUAUAAACUAAAUACUGUUGCCACCACAGUCUCUUCAGACCUACCACCAAUUUGAUAUAUAUUUUCAGACAAGCCCAGGAAAAAUAUGAUUUGAAGGAUCCAUUAAAAGGGAAACUGCUAUUCAACUUUGGUUGUUGAUAGAGCCAUAAAAUAUAUAUUUAUAUGCAGUUUUAUAUAUACAAAAUGAAACUCACAUCCUACAGUAUCUUACUGGAGCUCAGAUGCAGCACAUGACAUAUUAUAUCUGUGGAAAUGGGAUCUAUAACCUAAUGUAUUCUUGCAUCAAAGAAUAAUGUCUCAUAAAUAAAUCAUUACAGCCUGUCACAUCUAUGGUUUCACACUGUAGUGUAUAAAAUAAUGUAUUUUGAGAUACGAGAGAAGGUGAUUAUCUAAUGUUUCAACAAAAAAAGAUUGUCCUGUGCUAAUGCAUGUGCUGUCUUAGAGGUGUUAUUGCCUUACCGCUGUUCAUUGAAGACUAAUCCAUCAUAUCAAAGGAGCGACAGCAUUUCACUUUUAAAAAACUGACACAAUUUGCACGCGGCUUUUCUCUUUCAGUAAUUAAGAAAUCAAAUAAGCCUGAGUGAAACUAUUUAAGAGGUUCUAGAUAUAAUUAGAACACCUCAUUCUCUCAUAACUAAUUCCUAAUUAAAGUAAUUUGUCUUUUUGCCCUUCUUUUCAAGGGUGAAGAGCAAGUGGUGAUGAAUGCUCAAAAUCAGGAAAAGUGAAAAUUGCAGUGUGUUGAUUUGCAGUGAUUGAGCGCGUUCCAGUUUUUAACAACCACCUUCGGCUGCAAAGCUAAAUGAAUCUCCAGCCUCUAUUUACAUUGAGAAUGUGUGAUCCAGAGCCUGACAAUUGAUAGAAUCUGGAGACAAAAGGGCUGAAGUCUGAGUCUGAGUUCAAAAGUUGCCUAUAUUAAGCUUUGCACAGGGGGAAAAAAUACAGUGAGACUGCACAGGAGAGAGAAGAAGUCUGAAAUUUGCUCCACUGGGUGAAAAUUGUCCUUUUAAAAUUUUAUUUGCAGCUGUGCCCAGAUGAUGACGGAUUUAUCAUAUGAACCAGGGAUUAGUAAACAAUGUGUACCCUAUAAAGAGCAAAACAAGUCCUUGCUCAUCACUGCACUUAAUUGCAGUGGUUAUAUCAAAGCCAUAUAAAAUUUAAUCAUCAACCACAAGUAAGAUUUUGCCUUGCAUGUGUGCUUGCUUCCCUGUUUUUCCACCUGUUUAAAUGAAAGAUUCUUGGAAUAUCACAAUAUGUAAAUAUUGUUUAUGAUGCAAAAAUAUGCUCUUUCAUCUCCUGGCUGCUUUGAUGUCGUGAUAUACAAAGCUUUUAGUGCCACCACCUACCUGACACACAAAGGUCUUAUCUGAUUCAUAAACAUGUGUGCCCAGUGCAAACAGGCUGUAUCCAAUAGAUGAUUUUUCUUUUCCUUGCAAUGUUUUUUUAACAGACAGAAAGAGAAAGAAAGUGUAAAUGACAGAACUGCUCAGGUGAAAAGAUUAUUUUAAGCAUCAGGUAAAGAUAAGCCCAUUAUGACAGAAGAAAAAGAUGUAGGUCAGUAUCGAUCCUAAGAGGUUAGUUAUAUAUAUAGUCAUCUCGUAAAAUGUGUUUUAAAAGCUGAAACUUUUUUUAAAGACUUUUGAUCCAAGUGGGAAAUAAGCAGCAAGAUCAGGUGCCCUCCUAAGACAUACAAAUAUGCCUAAUUAGCAGGAGAAGAAAGAGAAAAGCAGGAAGUGAGGUCAACACUGGAAACAGGGCAAACGGAGUCAGGGAGGGAAUAAGGUGUAGGUAAUAGUUAAAAUUUGCGGCUCAUUGGUAACAAUUUUAAACCUAAAGGAGCAGCUUAUUACAGGUUAAUCCAUGAUAUGUCUAAUUUACAGCUAUGUGUAUGUGAAUUUCUCAUAAAACAACGGGAUGGAGCUUCGGUCUGAUGGAGCCUGAAUUCUGCAAGGGGCAGCUGCUGUCUCCAGCUGAAAACACAAUACUGUUUGAGAGAAGUGUUACAACUGCUAGCAAAGGUCCUCUGGGCUUUUUAGGGCAAAUUAGGUCCCCAUACCCUCAGGGAUCCCACAGCUGUUCCCCCUGAGCACACAGAGCACCAAGAUGUGUGCUGAUGGCUGCAACAGCAGCAUAGCAGGGCUUGAUCUCAGCCACCUGAGAACAGAAUUUGGCCAUUUAAUAUCACACAAUAUCACAUAAACUGCAAGAACUUCAAGGUGUAAUGCUUCUUCUCUUUCUUCUUUCUCUCUUCUUUUUUUUUUUCCCUUUCCAUUCCUUUUUUUUUUUUUUUUUUUUUUUCUCUGUAUCCAGGAGCACCCUGGGAAAUCCUUUCGUGUUCUUUAUUUCCAUCUAAGCCCUGGCUUGCUUUGAACAGCAGAGGUAAUUGUGCGGGUGAACUUCAGAGAUUUGAAGGGAUCAAACUUGAAAGCCCCUGCCUGAAAGUGCAAGCUCCAACUGGAAUGUUGUCAGGUGCUGUGAGACGGGACGUGGCGGUGCUGCCGUCGGAGGAAUCCUUGCACAGGGACAGUCUGAACCUGCGCAGCGCUCCCUUUGCACAGCCCCUGCAGUUAGCAAGGCUCCCAUAACCCACAGCAGUGCUCAAAUGAGGCAGUACUGCCCUCUCUGAUCUAUAAAUGGGUGUGUGUGAUGAUGUGACUUGAUGAAGGUCAUCUAUGUCAGACAGUGGCAGAGGGUGAAGAAACCAUCCUGAUGUCUAUUUUCAGGUUUUCCCUGAGCAUCAGAGCAGAGAAGCCAAAGGGAUGCAGGUCUACAUCGUUUAUGAGAGCUACAUGUUCCUCUGGCUAGAAAAUCCUGGGGGAUUCAAUAAUAAUAAUAAAAAAAGAAGAAUCAGGGAAGAACUGAGAAGAAUAUAAUAGAAGUUUGCAGAUGGGGAAUUUCAGAAACCAGCAAAAUUCACGGAAGGAGAUUGUUACAAAACACAGCCUUUGCAAUGGAUUUAUACAUUCUUUUAAAUUUUACACGACAGCCAAAACACUCCAGAUACGCUUCCUCCCUCUGCCAGUUUUCCUCGAUCUUCUCUUUGAGCACAGGUGAAGUUCCUCAUGUUCCAAGACAGGGCAGGGUAUGUUCUGCUGCCAUUUCCCACACCCUUCUCAUGCCGUAUCUGACUAUCAGCACUGCUGCAAUCCAGGAAAACAGGAAACAUCAGAGCCAGUUGGAUUUUUCAACUCCUGAAUGUGUUUUGUUCAGAGUUCCUUUGGAAAAUAAUCAGGAAAACAAAAUAUGUUUUUACAAUUGUUUUUCCCCACUGGGUUUCAGACAACAGCAGCUAUAACAUGAAGUGAAAAAUAUAUUUAUUUCUUCUUCAAUCAAAAAUAUUUGGCUUGACCAAGAAAAUCUAUCUUAGUAAUCACAUACUGUGUCAAUGCCAUCCAUCUUCUUCUACAAUAGCUAUUGUCAUCGAUAGUGAAAGUUUGUUUCCUGUAGUAAGAAGCAUGGGAGAUGUCCUUUCUUGUUCCGUAUUUUGUUCUGCUUUGCCCUGUCAUAAGGCUAUUAACUACACAGUUACGUUUCAUUUUAAGAUUCUCAGUUAACACUCCCUGUCUUUACACUGCAAACUGUUUCAUCUUCUGAAUUGCGAUCUGCCAGUGGCUGAUGCUGGCAACACAGCACAACGUACAGACUUCUGAUCUCUUUUGGCCUGCAAGCUUUUCUUUCCUAACUGAUGGAUGAAAACCAAUUCCCUGUGCAAUUUGCUGAACUUUACUGUGGUUCUCAGUGCCAUUUCAAUUUAUGCCUAAUAGGUGGAGAAUCACAGAAUCACAGAAUGUCCCCGAAGAUCACUGAGCCCAUCUCCUGGCUCCACUUGGGGCUCCCUAAGAAUUAAACCAAAGACAUGUGAAUGCAAACUGAUUCAGAUGAAAUCCAUGACAGUCCUUCCACUUCCGGCCCUCUCAUAUGGGCAGACCCUUGCUUCAUUCUCACUUACUAUUGAAUAAAUAGUAUACGACUUUUGUGGAAUCAGCUAAGGAUUAGUGUUCCACACUCACACUUGUUGCCAUCCGUCUCUUUUCCAAAUUAUCCAUUUCAGCCACUGUGUGUGUUGAAGAGGUGUAAAACAUUGGUCUGAUAUGUGUGUGCUAUUACAGGAAGAAAUACAAGAGCAAACUCUCCUCUAACCCAUUUGAAUGCUUGUGAGACUGUUGGAGUUGUUGAGGUUCAAGGAAUGCCAUCUCCCAGGCUCCUCAUUGUCAUCUUCUUGGUAUCUGAACAUCUGGGGACAGCUGAGUCUGUGCAAGUUCAGUAGGAAAAGGAAAAUUAGUCAAAAGUACAUUUCUGCUCUGUAAGUGGUGUAUUUAAUUUCCAGCUAUGGAACAAAACACAAUUACCCAUGGUCCAUUUUUUCUGGGGUCAAGGCUGGCUAGAUUGUUGUAAUAAUCGUAAUAACACUCCCUCACUUGCUAUUUACCUUGGGAGCUAUUUGCUGUCCUUUGUCUGCAUCUGACUGUUGUGUAGGGACUGUGCCACAUCUUUGUGGUACAGCGUGUGUUUGGUUGCAGGGAUCUUUUGUGUCAGAAAAGGUAAACUUUGCACUCACAUAAAUUCUGUACUAGCCAGGACACAGUGAGACCUAUUCAGACUACUCACUUUCCUGAUAUAUGUAGCCACAUAAUCAUGGAAUAAAGACUCUGCAAAGUAUAUAGUGUUUUAAAGAUAAUUUGUACUACAGCAGCGCAUAGAGGAAGGGGUGCUUGGUAUGAAUUACAUAGAAAAAGUAUACUUCACCAUGACCUGGGGAUCAGUUGCAGAUUCAACUCCAGUUUGGUUUGGCCAGAUGUGCAAAAGCUAGGAGGAAGGUGUAGAAAGCACCAGUGUAACCAUGUGAAACCAGGCUUUGAAAAAUAAAGAACUGGCUCAAGAUCACAGGACAUGAUCUAUGGAAGAGAAAGAAGUUUUGCAUGUAUCUCCCGAAUUGCUCUGUAGUGUAGUAACUAGUAUUCCCUUUACUCCCUUGAUGCUAUAUGGGAUGUAAAAUAAUGCUCAGUUGCUGACCUCACAUACAGCAAACUGACCCAUUGUUUUCUAGGGAAAUUCAGCCAUGCAGAAAGGAAAUGCUCAGACAUCUAAAUAGCAAAACCAAAGCACUUAUG